rnacentral:rRNA from 1 species
UACGUAGGGUGCAAGCGUUGUCCGGAAUUAUUGGGCGUAAAGAGCUCGUAGGCGGUCUGUCACGUCGGCUGUGAAAUCCCGAGGCUCAACCUCGGGUCUGCAGUCGAUACGGGCAAACUAGAGUAUUGCAGGGGAGACUGGAAUUCCUGGUGUAGCGGUGAAAUGCGCAGAUAUCAGGAGGAACACCGGUGCGAAGGCGGGUCUCUGGGCAAUAACUGACGCUGAGGAGCGAAAGCGUGGGGAGCGAACAGG